rnacentral:rRNA from 1 species
CGUCUAUAUACGUAUAGCAUAUCAAUAAGCGGAGGAAAAGAAACUAACAAGGAUUCCCUUAGUAACGGCGAGUGAAGCGGGAAGAGCUCAAAUUUGAAAUCUUCAAGGUUUUACCUUGACGAAUUGUAGUUUAAAGAAGUGUUUUCUGUUGAAGUUUCGGUAAAAGUUCUUUGGAAUAGGACAUCAUAGAGGGUGAGAAUCCCGUAUUUGACCGUUACUUUCCAGCUGUGUGAUACACUUUCAAAGAGUCGGAUUGUUUGGGAAUGCAGUCCAAAAUGGGUGGUAAAUUUCAUCUAAAGCUAAAUAUUGGCGAGAGACCGAUAGCGAACAAGUACCGUGAGGGAAAGAUGAAAAGAACUUUGAAAAGAGAGUUAAACAGUACGUGAAAUUGUCAAAAGGGAAGCGUUUGACACCAGUGUUGUUUAGUUGAAAAUCAAUUCAAUAAUUUUUGAUUUUAAGUAGUAUUGACUUCAUCAGCUUGCUGCUUUCUUUUCAGGAAUUAUUGAAUGCACUUUUCAGUUAACAAGUCAACAUCAAUUUCUUUUGUUGUAAAAGGGUAAGAGGAAGGUGGCUUACGUUUCGGCGUAAGUGUUUAUAGCCUUUUACCUCUGCAAUCGGAGAGAUUGAGGCCAGCAGCGUAGACUCCUUCUGGGGUUAGAUACACUUGUGCUAAGCUAUAGCCUUGUAUAGACAACUUGUUGACUAUGCUCAGUCAUGUAGCUUACUCGCUUGUGCUAUUUUACCUACGCUUAGGAUGUUGAUAUGCAUGACUGAUA